UACGGGGGGAGCAAGCGUUGUCCGGACUCACUGGGCGUAAAGGGUGCGUAGGCGGGUUUUUAAGUCAGAGGUGAAAUCCUGGAGCUCAACUCCAGAACUGCCUUUGAUACUGGGAAUCUUGAGUAUGGGAGAGGUGAGUGGAACUGCGAGUGUAGAGGUGAAAUUCGUAGAUAUUCGCAAGAACACCAGUGGCGAAGGCGGCUCACUGGCCCAUAACUGACGCUGAGGCACGAAAGCGUGGGGAGCAAACAGG
rnacentral:rRNA from 1 species